AGCAGCCGCGGUAAUUCCAGCUCCAAUAGCGUAUAUUAAAGUUGUUGCAGUUAAAAGCUCGUAGUUGAAUUUCGGGAUCAAAGGAUCGGUCAUGCCUUGGUAUGUACUGGUUUUAUUGGUUCUCACCUUCUAAAGAACCAUAAUGUCAUUCAUUUGAUGUUAUGGGGAAUUAGGACUGUUACCUUGAAAAAUUAGAGUGUUUAAAGCAGGCUUACGCUUGAAUACAUUAGCAUGGAAUAAUGAAAUAGGACAUCAGAUUCUAUUUUGUUGGUUUCUAGGAUCGAUGUAAUGAUUAAUAGGGAUAGUUGGGGGCAUUAGUAUUCAAUUGUCAGAGGUGAAAUUCUUGGAUUUAUUGAAGACUAACUACUGCGAAAGCAUUUGCCAAGGAUGUUUUCAUUAAUCAAGAACGAAAGUUAGGGAUCGAAGACGAUCAGAUACCGUCGUAGUCUUAACCAUAAACUAUGCCGACUAGGGAUCGGAUGAUGUUAAUUUUAUAAUGACUCAUUCCGG
rnacentral:misc_RNA from 1 species